rnacentral:rRNA from 1 species
AACCUUUUUCUGUGGGAGAUGGGUGUGGUCCUUUGGUGAUUUAGUUGAGAGCAUCACUUGGGGAGGGGGCGUGCUUGAUAGUAUUGGCCCUACCUUUCCGGUCCUUUCGUACUAGGGAAGGUUAGUCAUAGAUAGAAACCGACCUGGAUUGCUCCGGUCUGAACUCAGAUCACGUAGGACUGUUAAUCGUUGAACAAACGAACCCUUAGUAGCGGUUGCACCACUAGGAUGUCCUGAUCCAACAUCGAGGUCGUAAACCUCCCCGUCGAUAGGGGCUCUUGGGGGAGAUUGCGCUGUUAUCCCUGGGGUAGCUUGGUUCAUUGGUCAAUUUUAUUGGGUCUGGGUGCUAUUGGCACGUUGAGGGGUUGCUCUUGGUUAGGGGUUUGGCCCUGUUUUUGGAGGAUUUGUUUUUCUCCAAGGUCGCCCCAACCUAAAAAUGUUAGCCAGUGUUUCGGGCGGUGGACCUGGUAGGCUUAGGUUAAGUGUGUAGUGGCUAUUGAUUUUAAAGUUCCACAGGGUCUUCUCGUCUUAUGUGUUUAUCCCUGCUUUUGCACAGGGAGAUCAGUUUCAUUGAUUGUCUGCAAGAGACAGUUAAGGCCUCGUUUAGCCAUUCAUACAAGUCUCGAUUUAUGGGACAAUUGAUUGCGCUACCUUUGCACGGUUAGGAUACCGCGGCCGUUAAACGUAAUGUCACUGGGCAGGCAUCACCUUCAAUACUUGUUUGGGCUGAAGGCUAUGUUUUUGGUAAACAGUCGGGCCUUGGGUUUGCCGAGUUCCUUUUGCAGAUUUUAAUCGUCCUAAUGUGCGCUCCUGGGUUGGGUUGACAGGAUAUAUCCAAUGUUUGGUUAAGGGGGGGAGGGGGUAUUGCUGAUUAUGCUGUUUAAUGGCUUGUAGGUUGGCGCUUAAGGGGAUGUGGUAUCCUGGUUACUCGUUUUAGCAUUGAUUCAUCUAUUGUCAUAGGUUAGCCUGCUAGGGGUGUAGGGAGUCGCAUGUGUUUUUGGAUUUUUUGGUUGAGAGCUUUGACGCACUCUUUAGGGGUGGCUGCUUUAAGGCCCACAGGUGUGAGACGGGGGGGUUGUUAUCCGCUAGUGGAGGUUGUAUUCUUUUUUAAAGGGGCUGUACCCCCUUUAAAUAGCUCUUAGCUUGCUACAUGGAAGUUUGGGUGCUUGCCUGGGGGAGGGGGCUAAGGGGGAACUUAAAUUCAUUUGCAGGCAACCAGCUAUCACCCAGCUCGGUAGGCUUUUCACCGCUACUAACAAGUCAUCCCACUCUUUUGUAACAGAGACGGGUUGGUUCAGGGUAACUGCUCGUAAGUAGCUCGCUUGGGUUUCGGGGUGGCAGGCUUAAGUUCGCUUUGUCUGGUUUUUCUUGCUAAAUCAUGAUGCAGAAGGUACAAGGGUUUAUCUUUGCUAUGUGGUGCUUGGCUUUCAUUGCUAUUUCAUCUUUCCCUUGCGGUACUUUUUCUAUGGCGUCCAAGUUAUACUUUUCUAUCGCCUAUACUAAGUUAGGGGUAAUGUUUUAGUUGGAUAGGGUGGUGGGUUCUUGAUUUGUGGUUGGUGGAGCUAGAGUAGGC